GCAUGAGAGUGGCCCAACCACCCGAACCGUGGAUUUGGUAUGGAAGAUUUCACCUUCACUUGCUGUCCUAUAUAGAAUCUUUCUGUCUUUUCAAGUUUUGAAGUAUGUCCCACCCACAACUCCGGUUCUCUACAGAAUCCUACUAGAACAGAACCGUCCCAUUCAUUUUCGUUAUAAUUUAAUCCUUGUACAACACCAAUACUCCCGGCUGGCAAUGAUUUCCAUCCAUCGGUAUCAUCUUUCAAUUUCACCCAUUCUCCCACAGCAUACAUUUGCUCUACCUCAAAAUCUGCAGGAUCUCCUCUCCACCAUCCGGACAAGCCAAACAGCGAAACUCUUAUUUCUCCAUUAGCAUUUACAGCAGUCACAACACCCCUUGAAUUGGGAUUAGCGCCUCUCCAUCCCCAUCUCGGCUUAGCUAAUCCAGCACGGAAACGCACAUACUGGCCAAUUUUAA
rnacentral:misc_RNA from 1 species